UUCUUCCUUCUGCAUCGGAAAAGAUUUUCAAGACAUCUACACAUCUUUCAGUUAAUGGAUCAAGUGACGCAUAUUCCACUUCUUGGAUGUGUCAUGGAUCUUUUUUGUCAACUAUUUACAUCAUUCAAGGCAUCAGAUUCAAGUAAGGCUUGCAAUGAAAUCGUUGUUGACACCACGAUAACAGGAAAUCUAGAAGCUCAAAAACACUUCACACAACUACAGUGUAUCAAGCUUAGUUGAUUGGCAUGUGGCCCCAACUGUAUAAUAUGUAAAUAGUCUCUCAGGAUUUAUUGUAUUUGAAAUAUCAUAAAAGCAUAUAUGAUUAUAUCUAUUGUGACAUAGCUUGUAACAUUAUAGUGUGAUUUUGUAUACGUGUGCUUUUUUUGUUUCUUUGUAUAACUAGAAAGAAUCAGUAUAAUCUGCAAUAUAGAAACCACGAAAUCUAAGAGUAAAUGAUAGUUGGACGUCCAAUAUAUGAAUCACAAAAUCUUUGCCUACAUGCCUUAUAGUGAGAGAUCAAGCUAUUCAUAGUUCAUAUAAUUGAUGGUAUCUAGCCUAGGUAAGUGUGUAGACUUGUUCAGCAUGUGUAUAAAAUGUUCC
rnacentral:lncRNA from 1 species